AACGAACGCUGGCGGCAUGCCUAACACAUGCAAGUCGAACGAGACCUUCGGGUCUAGUGGCGCACGGGUGCGUAACGCGUGGGAACCUGCCCUUAGGUUCGGAAUAACUCCCCGAAAGGGGUGCUAAUACCGGAUAAUGUCUUCGGACCAAAGAUUUAUCGCCUUUGGAUGGGCCCGCGUUGGAUUAGCUAGUUGGUAGGGUAAAAGCAUACCAAGGCGACGAUCCAUAGCUGGUCUGAGAGGAGGAUCAGCCACACUGGGACUGAGACACGGCCCAGACUCCUACGGGAGGCAGCAGUUGGGAAUAUUGGACAAUGGGCGAGAGCCUGAUCCAGCAAGGCCGCGUGAGUGAUGAAGGCCUUAGGGUUGUAAAGCUCUUGUACCCGGGAUGAUAAUGACAGUACCGGGAGAAUAAGCUCCGGCUAACUCCGUG
rnacentral:rRNA from 1 species